rnacentral:rRNA from 1 species
UACGUAGGGAGCAAGCGUUGUCCGGAAUCAUUGGGCGUAAAGCGCGCGUAGGUGGCUUCGUAAGUCCGUUGUGAAAGUCAAAGGCUCAACCUUUGAAUGCCGAUGGAUACUGCGAAGCUAGAGUACGGAAGAGGCGAGUGGAAUUCCUGGUGUAGCGGUGGAAUGCGCAGAUAUCAGGAGGAACACCAAUAGCGAAGGCAGCUCGCUGGGACGUGACUGACACUAAGGCGCGAAAGCGUGGGGAGCGAACAGG